rnacentral:rRNA from 1 species
UACGGAGGGUGCAAACGUUGCUCGGAAUCAUUGGGCGUAAAGCGCACGUAGGCGGCCCAGCAAGUCGGGUGUGAAAGCCCUCGGCUUAACCGAGGAAGUGCAUUCGAAACUACUGAGCUUGAAUACUGGAGAGGAUCGCGGAAUUCCCGGUGUAGAGGUGAAAUUCGUAGAUAUCGGGAGGAACACCAGUGGCGAAGGCGGAGACCUGGGCCAAUACUGACGCUGAGGUGCGAAAGCGUGGGGAGCAAACAGG